AAUAAUUAACGAACCUUCCUGUUCCCAUGUCACAUGCUCCAUGGUCACCCCAGGUUCAAGAGUAAGGGCUCUCCUCUUCUUCAGCUUUCAUAGCAUCAGGAACAUGCGGAUCUUCUGAACUCCAGGCUCCUCUCACGGUUUGGUGCACACACAGACACCUCUUCAAAGUUGAGGCUAUCAAACUGCCAGGAACCUGAUCAGGUGGUAAAUGGAUAAUAGGCCGUGUUGUGAAAUUACUCUGUAUGAGAUCUGGAGUUUCAAAGAUUAUGUUUGAAAGGAGAUCAAGCACGAGGUCAUGUAGCUGCUCUAAACUCAUCUCCUCCAAGAACGGGGGUACGCUGACUUUAUACAGAGGGGAUAUGGAGGACGUCAUCCUUAAUGAGAAGGAAGAAUAGCACCUUUGUAAGUCAUAGGGUACAAGGCCACAGUUGUUAAGUGGCAACCUCACCAUCAAAUGCGGCUGAAACUCCAUCCCGAAAUUCCAUCCCGAGGUACAGGACAUGCAACGAGAGCUGUGUUUUACGCCGGCGGCUGGGGGAAGCUGGGUUUCUUGACCCACACACGGCACCACAUAGUUCACAGCAGCCAGAAGUCAGCCCGAGGAGUAACUGUGCGCAAUCAGUGUUACUGAGGUUUACCGGCUGCUUCUUGGCUUGUUCUGCUUUGGGCCAAUUCUGAUAUCAAGCGGAGCUAAUGCAUUUGCAAAUGCGCUUGUCACUGAGACACUGCAAGUUAAUCCCUCCAGACCCAAAGGACACUGUCCGAAUGUCUUCGCAGCGCAUUUCAAAAACAAACUAUAUGGAAUGUUGUCUUCCCUUGGAAUACCAGGCAUGAAAGUCAGGGCAGCCCCUUAUCCAACCACAGGACAAGAUCAGGCAUCAUUGUAUCCAUCUUUUGUGAGGUCUGGAUGAUAAUUCUCACUUUUGGCCACUACACAUUUAAGUCGUCUAGGAAUUUCCACAAAGCGCCCAUAUCUGGGCCUCAGCCCUGAUCAACUGUGUGUAUCUUUGGAUAUGUUGGAGGAGUUUCCCAAGUGAUUCUGAUGUUCAGGGAGGCCGGAGAAACACUGGUCUGGGCAUUAAUUCAAGGAGCUUUGUGCUCUUGCUUUUGCUUGUUCUAAACAAGAAGAUUCUAUGCAAGCCCGGUUCCCCGAAAUGGGAAUUCAGGGCACACCAAGAACUGCCAUUCACUUCUCCCCUGGCUCUGAACAGCUUUCCUUGGGUCUUGAUUUUCCUGCAUGUAAAAUGGGGUUUAUAAUACGCACUCACUUCUAUUUCAGGGAGUUGUGAGAAUGCAAUGAGGAAUGCUCAGUCUCCAACACAGGUGUCACAAAAGCAAGGCACUAUUAGUAUAAUAAUUAUUAUUAAAAAUAGUUGACCAUAAUAUAAACUCAAAUAGCCCAAAUCGUAUUAGUUACUAAAAUGACUAUGAUGGUAGGGGUGGGGUAUAGGAGGGAUAGAAACAGUCUAAAUUCAGUGUCCACGGGCCAAGCAUUGAGUUGAUCCAUCGCACACAGUAACCAGCAUGAUCAGGUCCUAGAUCUGGUUUUCUCAUUUAACCCUGGGUGAGUCAGUUCAUUUAGGUGGGAUUUACUUUCCUUACUGAUAACAUGGGAAGGCUAGACUGGGAGAUUCUUAUCCCGGGAUCCACGAAUAUAUUUUGGAUAAUCUGUGAACAACA